rnacentral:rRNA from 1 species
UGGGGAAUUUUCCGCAAUGGGCGCAAGCCUGACGGAGCAACGCCGCGUGAGGGAGGAAGGCCUGUGGGUUGUAAACCUCUUUUCUCAAGGAAGAAGAACUGACGGUACUUGAGGAAUCAGCAUCGGCUAACUCCGUGCCAGCAGCCGCGGUAAGACGGAGGAUGCAAGCGUUAUCCGGAAUUAUUGGGCGUAAAGCGUCCGUAGGCGGUUUAUCAAGUCUGCUGUUAAAGACUACAGCUCAACUGUGGGCAGGCGGUGGAAACUGAUGAACUAGAGAGCGGUAGGGGUAGAGGGAAUUCCUAGUGUAGCGGUGAAAUGCGUAGAUAUUAGGAAGAACACCAGUGGCGAAGGCGCUCUACUGGGCCGUGACUGACGCUGAUGGACGAAAGCUAGGGGAGCGAAUGGGAUUAGAUACCCCUGUAGUCC